CUUAAUUCCCAAUUUAUCUGCAGCCAGUUUGCACUGUAUCAGCCUGAUCUCGUCAGAUCUCAGAACCUAAGCAGAGCAGGAUCUGGUUAGUACUUGGAUGGGAGACCUCUUUGGAACACCAGUGGCUGUGUGUGUUUCUCCGGGUAAAACGGGAGUUGCGUCAGGAAGGGCAUCCGGCGUAAAACUUGCACAAAUUACCAAUGCGGAUCUGGUUGUAUCCGCUGUGGCGACCCUGAACAAAAUCGGGACCAGCCGAAUUAACAACAACA